GAGUCUAGAACGAAUACAUAUACUCAGAAAAAACAAUUGUGUUUACUCUUUUUUAUCUGCAUAUUCAUCGAGGAAUUUCUCGAGGUGAAGAAAGACAACCGAAACAAAACGUAAAUAGCCGAACGUUGGGCUAAGGAUAAGCAGUGACGUAUCUCAUUCCCCUUCCGUCCUCCAACGAUGUCCACCUCUCCAAUGUCCUUGAAUAGCACAGCUUGCGGAGCAUCCAGCGUUACCACCAACCUGACAAGAAGUAUACACUUCCGGUUCGUCAACAAUAGAAUCUUCAGCAUUUGAACCUAAAAAAUGUCGUUUUAUGCAAGAUUUAUAAAUUUAAUUUUCUAUAUUUCCUAUGUAUAUAUUUUAAGCCUUUGCAGGACUUUGAAAUAUAUCAAAAAAAUUACUUUAUUUAAUAUAUUUUAAUAAUUUCUAUGAAUUUGUCGUAUUACUUACCAUCGAUUGCCAUAGCUGAGAUUGUUACAAUAGUAACGAAAAGAAAAGCAAGUAAGAGUUGGAAUUUGGCCAUUUUUAUAAGUAUUAAUUAUUAAUUGAAUCAAAACUAUACUGUCGUUCCAGAAAUGUUCACCUUUUUAUAUACAGAGAAAUCUAAUCUGGCGAUAAUGUCAAUACUCAUGAUAAAGAUCGAAAUUAAACAAAAAAACACCUGUAGAGCACACAUCUAUACAUAAAUUACGACUUUACAUGACGUUUAUUAUGCUUCAUGGAGUUUUCAAAAUAUUUUCAAUAGCAUUUAAUUGAAAAGUUAUAAUCUUUGUACUAAUUUGAUAUCAUUCUUGGUUCGUUAUUUUUAUCUUAUUGCGUUUUUCUUUUCUUAUC